rnacentral:rRNA from 1 species
AGCGAACGCUGGCGGUAGGCCUAACACAUGCAAGUCGAACGGCAGCACAGUAAGAGCUUGCUCUUACGGGUGGCGCGUGGCGGACGGGUGAGGAAUACAUCGGAAUCUACCUUUUCGUGGGGGAUAACGUAGGGAAACUUACGCUAAUACCGCAUACGACCUACGGGUGAAAGCAGGGGAUCUUCGUACCUUGCGCGAUUGAUUGAGCCGAUGUCGGAUUAGCUAGUUGGCGGGGUAAAGGCCCACCAAGGCGACGCUCCGUAGCUGGUCUGAGAGGAUGGGCAGCCACACUGGAAGUGAGACACGGUCCAGACUCCUACGGGAGGCAGCAGUGGGGAAUAUUGGACAAUGGGCGCGAGCCUGAUCCAGCCAGACCGCGUGGGUGAAGAAGGCCUUCGGGUUGUAAAGCCCUUUUGUUGGGAAAGAAAAGCAGCAGGUUAAUACGCCGCUGUUCUGACGGUACCCAAAGAAUAAGCACCGGCUAACUUCGUG